rnacentral:rRNA from 1 species
CCGGCGACCGGCGGCACGGGUGAGUAACACGUAUGCGAACCUGGCCGUGACAGAUGGAUAACCGGGAGAAAUACCCGCCUAAUACAACAUAAUGCCGGGAGGGGACAUCCCCUGACCGGUCAAAGGGGGCGACCCGGUCAUGGAUGGGCAUGCGGCGCAUUAGGGUAGUUGGUGGGGCAACGGCCCACCAAGCCGACGAUGCGUAGGGGUUCUGAGAGGAAGGUCCCCCACAUUGGAACUGAGACACGGUCCAAACUCCUACGGAAGGCAGCAG